AACGAACGCUGGCGGCAGGCUUAACACAUGCAAGUCGAACGCCCCGCAAGGGGAGUGGCAGACGGGUGAGUAACGCGUGGGAACAUACCCUUUCCUGCGGAAUAGCUCUGGGAAACUGGAAUUAAUACCGCAUACGCCCUACGGGGGAAAGAUUUAUCGGGGAAGGAUUGGCCCGCGUUGGAUUAGCUAGUUGGUGGGGUAAAGGCCUACCAAGGCGACGAUCCAUAGCUGGUCUGAGAGGAUGAUCAGCCACAUUGGGACUGAGACACGGCCCAAACUCCUACGGGGGGCAGCAGUGGGGAAUAUUGGACAAUGGGCGCAAGCCUGAUCCAGCCAUGCCGCGUGAGUGAUGAAGGCCUUAGGGUUGUAAAGCUCUUUCACCGAUGAAGAUAAUGACGGUAGUCGGAGAAGAAGCCCCGGCUAACUUCGUGCCAGCAGCCGCAGUAA
rnacentral:rRNA from 1 species